rnacentral:lncRNA from 1 species
UUGGUUCAUAAAGUCUCAUUCACAAACAAGUUACUGUAAUCUGAUUUAGAGAAUGAAAAUUACAUUAAAAAAAAAAUUGACCAAUAGGAAUUCCUUAAAUAAAGAUAAUUAUCCAGUGAGGGGCCAUGAGUGGGUUUUGUUUCUCUGUCGAUGGCCGUCUUAUUCUCAUCCAGUAAUUAAGGACUUAGGGCCCAUACUGGUUUAUUGCACGUGACAGAUCCAGCUAAGCUUUUCCCAAAGUCGUCAAUAGUCUUUUUCUCUGCCCACUUGCCCGCAUUACACUGGCCGCGAAAGCACCUUGCGCCCAUUUUCGCGUCAACUGAGAGUCGCGUCUAAAGCUUACUAUAAUAAUUGAAGACUUAUUUUUGUAAAUAUUGUUGGAGAAAUUAUAUCAAUAUUGUGCAUAUUAUAUUCACAAAAAUCAUAUCGUUUAUUUGCAUGAAAUCGAAACAUAAUUUCAACUUACCGAAAUAGAUAUGGGAGGAUAAAACGACAAAUUCAAUCAUUUCCAUUCUUUAUUUCAAAUCUAUAUGAAAUCAAAAGAAUGUUAUUAAUUUUCUAAAAUCAAAUACAAAGGAAGAAAUCAGAAAGAAUUAAGAAAAGAUGCGAGUGAUGCGAUUGGUUGAGGCAAGUGAUGGACACUUUGUCCUUAAAAUGAAUUUGCCCCGUAUCGGUGCUAACGGUUUUUCAACAACCAUCUCCUAAGAUACAACGACCACGUCGAGUCAUAGGAGUACUCCAAAUGGUUUAGACCAACGAACUCGAACGGGGUUCCCUCUCUGCCAAAAUCACAACUUUGAUGCAAAUGUUUUAUGCAAAAUCAAAGUGUAAGAUAAAAUAGAAUGAUAUAGAAUUAUGAAUUGAGUUUCUUUUUUU